rnacentral:rRNA from 1 species
GGACUACCCGGGUAUCUAAUCCUGUUUGCUCCCCACGCUUUCGCGUUUCAGCGUCAGCAACGAGCCAGAGGGCCGCCUUCGCCGCCGGUGUUCCUCCUGAUAUCUACGCAUUUCACCGCUACACCAGGAAUUCCACCCUCCUCUCUCGCGCUCUAGCUGGCUAGUUUCCAAUGCACUUCCGGGGUUGAGCCCCGGGCUUUCACACCAGACUUGACCAACCGCCUACACGCCCUUUACGCCCAGUCAAUCCGAACAACGCUUGCACCCUCCGUCUUACCGCGGCUGCUGGCAC